rnacentral:lncRNA from 1 species
AAAAUGCUUGAAAGAAAUUUGGGGGCAUGGAUAGAUCCGUUAGAAAGAACACAAGACAAGCUUUCCAGAUUGUAUUUAAACUCCCUAAUCGGACAUCAGAUGGAUCCGUGGUGGCAAAAGCAUAGCAGAGAUGUAUAUGGUAGUGGUGGAUCUCGUGGUGACCAAAACGUGAUAGAACUCAAAACUCUAAAAAAUUAGACACUAAGACCAGCAGUUCUAUACGUUGAUGCAAUCGAAAACUCAACAAGCAAAGAUUAAGAAGAACAGCAAAGGCUCAAAGUUGUUGUUUGGAAUUUCAAAUCUAACCUAUUUUUGAGGAUUUUUGGACUGUAGUAAAGUAAAAUAGGUAAAUCACUCACCAAAGAACCUAGCUCUGAUACCAACUGAUGUGAACCUGUGGGAUUAAAUUCGGAUGUUUCGAUAAGAGAAGGUGGACAACUUGAUUUAGGGAUGAAGACAACGUUCACGGCUCGACUCCAACCAUCCAAGGAUGCUGCGCCUUAGCAACUGAUAC